GGACGCGUAGCUCAGCGGUAGAGCACUACGUUGACAUCGUAGGGGUCACAGGUUCAAUCCCUGUCGCGUCCACCA
rnacentral:tRNA from 2 species